rnacentral:tmRNA from 1 species
GGGGGCGUAAAGGUUUCGACGGGGACGUUGAGCCGUGACAAGCGGGCCGAGCCGGGUAAUCUCGUAAACUGCCCAACUUAAAAAACAAACGACAACAAUCAGUUUGCACUGGCUGCCUGAGUAAGGCAGUGCCGCUGUCCUGCGGGACAGCCCGUCCUGUUUCAGAGUAUCGCGGCUGAGAUAAGGGCGUAACCGAGCGGUGAACGUGAGUCGGCGGUUGCUCUUGAACCGACCAUGCAUAAAAGAGCUGCCCGAAGGUAACGCCUGUGCGUCGGCGUUCCUAAGGGGAGAAUCAAUGACGUAAUGCGCCCGGAGAAGGUCACGGGGAGAUGUUUUCGGACAGGGGUUCGACUCCCCUCGCCUCCACCA